rnacentral:rRNA from 1 species
GAAAUCCCCGGGCUCAACCUGGGAACUGCAUUCGAAACUGGCAGGCUUGAGUCUUGUAGAGGGGGGUAGAAUUCCAGGUGUAGCGGUGAAAUGCGUAGAGAUCUGGAGGAAUACCGGUGGCGAAGGCGGCCCCCUGGACAAAGACUGACGCUCAGGUGCGAAAGCGUGGGGAGCAAACAGGAUUAGAUACCCUGGUAGUCCACGCCGUAAACGAUGUCUACUUGGAGGUUGUGCCCUUGAGGCGUGGCUUCCGGAGCUAACGCGUUAAGUAGACCGCCUGGGGAGUACGGCCGCAAGGUUAAAACUCAAAUGAAUUGACGGGGGCCCGCACAAGCGGUGGAGCAUGUGGUUUAAUUCGAUGCAACGCGAAGAACCUUACCUGGUCUUGACAUCCACAGAACUUUCCAGAGAUGGAUUGGUGCCUUCGGGAACUGUGAGACAGGUGCUGCAUGGCUGUCGUCAGCUCGUGUUGUGAAAUGUUGGGUUAAGUCCCGCAACGAGCGCAAC